AGCGUAGGCGGACUGUUAAGUCAGAGGUGAAAGCCCAGGGCUCAACCUUGGAAUUGCCUUUGAUACUGGCAGUCUUGAGUAUGGGAGAGGUGAGUGGAACUCCGAGUGUAGAGGUGAAAUUCGUAGAUAUUCGGAAGAACACCAGUGGCGAAGGCGACUCACUGGCCCAUUACUGACGCUGAGGCUGAAAGCGUGGGGAGCAAACA
rnacentral:rRNA from 1 species